AUACGUAGGGAGCGCGCGUUGUCCGGAAUUACUGGGCGUAAAGGGCGCGUAGGCGGCGCUUCAAGUCGUCUGUCAAAUGGGAGGGCUUAACCCUUUUUCGCAGACGAAACUGGAGAGCUUGAGAAGCAGAGAGGCAAACAGAAUUCCUGGUGUAGCGGUGAAAUGCGUAGAUAUCAGGAAGAAUACCAGUGGCGAAGGCGGUUUGCUGGCUGCAUACUGACGCUGAAGCGCGAAAGCCAGGGGAGCAAACGGGAUUAGAUACCCCGGUAGUCCUGGCAGUAAACGAUGUAUGCUGGGUGUGAGACUAGCGAUAGUUUCGUGCCGAAGUUAACGCGAUAAGCAUACCGCCUGGGGAGUACGGUUGCAAGAUUGAAACUCAAAGGAAUUGACGGGG
rnacentral:rRNA from 1 species